GAUCAUGGCUCAGGAUGAACGCUGGCGGCGUGCUUAACACAUGCAAGUCGAGCGGAAGCACUUAGGAAAGAUUCUUCGGAUGAUUUCCUAUUUGACUGAGCGGCGACGGGUGAGGUAACGCGUGGGUAACCUGCCUCAUACAGGGGGGAUAACAGUUAGAAAUGACUGCUAAUACCGCAUAAGACCACAGCACCGCAUGGUGCAGGGGGUAAAAAACUCCGGUGGUAUGGAGAUGGACCCGCGU
rnacentral:rRNA from 1 species